UACAGAGGGGGCAAGCGUUAUUCGGAAUUAUUGGGCGUAAAGGGCGCGUAGGCGGCUUGGCAAGUGGAUGGUGAAAUCCCUCGGCUUAACCGAGGAACUGCCGUCCAAACUGCUUUGCUUGAGACCGGGAGAGGUGAGUGGAAUUCCCAGUGUAGCGGUGAAAUGCGUAGAUAUUGGGAGGAACACCAGUGGCGAAGGCGGCGAUCUGGGCAGAUACUGACGCUGAGGUGCGAAAGCGUGGGGAGCAAACAGG
rnacentral:rRNA from 1 species